rnacentral:rRNA from 1 species
GUACACUCCUACGGGAGGCAGCAGUGGGGAAUAUUGGACAAUGGGCGCAAGCCUGAUCCAGCCAUGCCGCGUGAGUGAUGAAGGCCCUAGGGUUGUAAAGCUCUUUCACCGGUGAAGAUAAUGACGGUAACCGGAGAAGAAGCCCCGGCUAACUUCGUGCCAGCAGCCGCGGUAAUACGAAGGGGGCUAGCGUUGUUCGGAUUUACUGGGCGUAAAGCGCACGUAGGCGGACUAUUAAGUCAGGGGUGAAAUCCCGGGGCUCAACCCCGGAACUGCCUUUGAUACUGGUAGUCUUGAGUUCGAGAGAGGUGAGUGGAAUUCCGAGUGUAGAGGUGAAAUUCGUAGAUAUUCGGAGGAACACCAGUGGCGAAGGCGGCUCACUGGCUCGAUACUGACGCUGAGGUGCGAAAGCGUGGGGAGCAAACAGGAUUAGAUACCCGAGUAGUCCCAUGAU